rnacentral:lncRNA from 1 species
UGGACUAAGAGGCCUGUCUGGGUAGUGUCUCUUCCAUUCCUCUGCAUUUUGGGAAUGUUUUUCUCUCUGAGAAUUUUUUGUGAGGUGGUUUAUUUUCCUGGCCUUUCUCAUGAGUCAUUUAUCUAAGGGCAAAGUAUAAGAGAAUUUUUAUUAAUGUUCUGACUGGCAGAGUUAUUCAUUGAUUGAUCACAUCAUUUUUUCUUUUUUUUUGCAGUUUGCCAAAAAGGCAUACAAUGAAAUAUGAUCUGCUAAAGACUGUUGUAUAUUGUUUCUGACAAUAAGAAUAGAUGCAAAAUUCCUUACAAGAUUAUUGGAAAACAUCAAAAAACACUGCAGCCAUUAUGGAAACAGAGAGUGUACACACACUCAUGCACACACAGGUUAAUUUCCGAUGAGGUCUGCUAUGUGUCAGGAAAUUGAAGUGAGUUGUUUCAUUUUCACUGCUACUGUAUUAACGUGGACAGAAUGGUUCUCCAUUAGGCUACCAUGAAUUAUGUUAUCCUUGUCCUCCUUCUCCACACCUAUAUUUAGCCAUCUCUAAGUAGAUUCUAUUCUUUUGAAGCAUUUGAGCACAUUAUUUUUUGAUGGUUGAAAUGGUUUAAUUUGUCAAGGGAUGAGGGUCUUAAUUUUAUUUUUUUUCUGGCUGUUAGCAGACUAAUUAGGAAAGCUUGAGCAGUGCUAGUCCUGUACUUCAUCUAAACUUUCAAGUUUAC